rnacentral:rRNA from 1 species
UACGAAGGGGGCUAGCGUUGCUCGGAAUCACUGGGCGUAAAGGGUGCGUAGGCGGAUUUCUAAGUCAGGGGUGAAAGCCUGAGGCUCAACCUCAGAAUUGCCUUUGAUACUGGAAGUCUUGAGACCGGAAGAGGUAAGUGGAACUGCGAGUGUAGAGGUGAAAUUCGUAGAUAUUCGCAAGAGCACCAGUGGCGAAGGCGGCUUACUGGUCCGGUUCUGACGCUGAGGCACGAAAGCGUGGGGAGCAAACAGG